rnacentral:rRNA from 1 species
UAUUGGUCAAUGGACGGAAGUCUGAACCAGCCAUGCCGCGUGAAGGAUUAAGGCGUUCUGCGUUGUAAACUUCUUUUAUCAGGGAAGAAACCGUUUAUUUUUAUGAACGUUGACGGUACCUGAUGAAUAAGCACCGGCUAACUCCGUGCCAGCAGCCGCGGUAAUACGGAGGGUGCAAGCGUUAUCCGGAUUUACUGGGUUUAAAGGGUGUGUAGGCGGCUUUAUAAGUCAGGGGUGAAAUCUCCGGGCUCAACCCGGAAACUGCCUUUGAUACUAUAGAGCUUGAAUUAUGUUGAGGUUGGCGGAAUAUAACAUGUAGCGGUGAAAUGCAUAGAUAUGUUAUAGAACACCGAUUGCGAAGGCAGCUGACUAAGCAUAUAUUGACGCUGAGGCACGAAAGCGUGGGUAGCGAACAGG